GACAGAGGGUGCUAGCGUUGUCCGGAAUUAUUGGGCGUAAAGGGCUCGUAGGCGGUUUGUCGCGUCGGGAGUGAAAACUCAGGGCUUAACCCUGAGCCUGCUUCCGAUACGGGCAGACUAGAGGUAUGCAGGGGAGAACGGAAUUCCUGGUGUAGCGGUGAAAUGCGCAGAUAUCAGGAGGAACACCGGUGGCGAAGGCGGUUCUCUGGGCAUUACCUGACGCUGAGGAGCGAAAGUGUGGGGAGCGAACAGG
rnacentral:rRNA from 1 species